rnacentral:rRNA from 1 species
CAACUUUCAACAACGGAUCUCUUGGUUCUGGCAUCGAUGAAGAACGCAGCGAAAUGCGAUAAGUAGUGUGAAUUGCAGAAUUCAGUGAAUCAUCGAAUCUUUGAACGCACAUUGCGCCCCUUGGUAUUCCAUGGGGCAUGUCUGUUCGAGCGUCAUUUG